rnacentral:lncRNA from 1 species
GACGGCGAUAUUAAUUUUAAAUGGGAUGAUUUAGGAUUUGGGGUUGAAUUUAUAAUCAAAUUUAGGAUGGGUUCGGAUGAUAAAAUUUUAAACAGAUUCAGAUUUGAGUAGGAUAAAUUUUUCUAGUACCCUCUCCGUUGCCAUCCCUAACUGGGAACGUUUGUGUCAUUGAAUUCUUGGUACCAGAGCUUUCUUUAAAAUAAAUGAAAAGAGGAGAGUGGGGCCCACUUGGUGGGCCAUUGUUCGGCCCC